rfam:Ramazzottius varieornatus DNA, contig: Scaffold008, strain: YOKOZTNA-1.
GCUCGAUUGGCUCAGCCGGUAGAGCGUAGGUCUCAUAAUCCUAAGGUCGUGAGUUCGAGCCUCACAUCGAGCA